rnacentral:rRNA from 1 species
GACGAACGCUGGCGGCGUGCCUAAUACAUGCAAGUCGAGCGGACUUUCCGGAGUGCUUGCACUCCGGAAGGUUAGCGGCGGACGGGUGAGUAACACGUAGCCAACCUGUCCAUAAGACCGGGAUAACAUUCGGAAACGAAUGCAAAUACCGGAUAGUCGUACUUCUCGCAUGUGGGGAUCGGGAAACGGCGAUCAAUCUGCCUCUUAUGGAUUGGCCGCGGGCUAAUUAGGUAGUUGGUGGGGUAACGGCCUACCAAGGCGCCGAUGGGUAGCCGACGUGGGAGGGGGUUGGGCCACACUGGGACUGAGAAACGGCCCAGCGUCCUAGGGGAGGCAGAGGUAGGGAAGGUUCGGAAAUGGAGGAAAGUCUGACGAAGCAACGCCGGGGGGGUGAGGAAGGCCUUCGGGUGGUAAAGCUGUGUUGCCGGGGAAGAACGGGCAGGGGAGUAACUGCCCGUGCGAUACGGGUACCUGAGAAGAAGACCCGGCUUAACUAGGG